rnacentral:rRNA from 1 species
UACAGAGACUGCAAGCGUUAUUCGGAUUCACUGGGCGUAAAGGGUGCGCAGGCGGCCGUGUGUGUGAGGCGUGAAAGCCCGGGGCUUAACCCCGGAAUUGCACCUCAAACUACACGGCUAGAGCAUUGGAGAGGGUAGCAGAAUUCACGGUGUAGCAGUGAAAUGCGUAGAUAUCGUGAGGAAUACCAGAGGCGAAGGCGGCUACCUGGACAGUAACUGACGCUGAGGCGCGAAAGCUAGGGGAGCAAACAGG